rnacentral:rRNA from 1 species
UACGUAGGGUGCGAGCGUUAAUCGGAAUUACUGGGCGUAAAGCGUGCGUAGGCGGUUCUCCAAGUCCGUUGUGAAAGCCCUGGGCUCAACCUGGGAAUGGCAGUGGAAACUAGGGGACUGGAAUCUGGGCAGGAGGGGGGUGGAAUGCCGCGUGUAGCAGUGAAAUGCGUAGAGAUGCGGCGGAACACCGAUGGCGAAGGCAGCCCCCCUGGGCUGAGAUUGACGCUCAGGCACGAAAGCGUGGGGAGCAAACAGG